UACGGGGGGAGCAAGCGUUGUUCGGAUUUACUGGGCGUAAAGGGCGCGUAGGCGGUCAGCACAAGUCAGUUGUGAAAUCUCCGGGCUUAACUCGGAAAGGUCAACUGAUACUGUGCGACUAGAGUGCAGAAGGGGCAACUGGAAUUCUCGGUGUAGCGGUGAAAUGCGUAGAUAUCAGGAGGAACACCGGUGGCGAAGGCGGGUCUCUGGGCCGAUGACUGACGCUGGAGGAGCGAAAGCGUGGGGAGCGAACAGG
rnacentral:rRNA from 1 species